rfam:Anolis carolinensis chromosome 3, whole genome shotgun sequence.
GAGUUUGAGAAAUACUACUCUAAAAGAACCAGAUUUCAUCCAAUCUUGGAAGCUAGGCAGAGUGGCCCAUGGUUAGUACUUGGAUGGGAAACUGUCAGUGAAUACCAGAGGUUAUAUUUC